rnacentral:rRNA from 1 species
UUAAAUGAAUUGACGGGACCGCACAAGCAGCGGAGCGUGUGGUUUAAUUCGUUGCUACACGAAGAACCUUACCUGGUUUGACAUAUAGGUUGUAGGGAACUGAAAAGGGACCGACCCUUCGGGGAGCCUAUACAGGUGUUGCAUGGCUGUCGUCAGCUCGUGUCGUGAGAUGUUGGGUUAAGUCCCGCAGCGAGCGCAACCCUUGUCAUUAGUUGCUACGAAAGGGCACUCUAAUGAGACUGCCGGUGACAAACCGGAGGAAGGUGGGGAUGACGUCAAGUCCUCAUGGCCCUUAUAGGUGGGGCUACACACGUCAUACAAUGGCUGGUACAAAGGGUUGCCAACCCGCGAGGGGGAGCCAAUCCCAUAAAGCCAGUCGUAGUCCGGAUCGCAGUCUGCAACUCGACUGCGUGAAGUCGGAAUCGCUAGUAAUCGUGGAUCAGCAUGUCACGGUGAAUACGUUCCCGGGUCUU